CCACAUGGCGCACAUAGUUGGAGUCAUCAUGUGCAACCCCACAUCGCGCACCACUAUGUCAUCCUCCACACUCCCACACCCUGUCAUUUCUAGCAUGUGCAUCCCCCAUAUCACGCACACCCAUGGUUAUAUUCAUUACACAAUAUUAUCUACCAAUAUACUAUACAUAUAUAUAUAUAUAUCAACAUAUAAAAGGGAUUUCGCAAAUUCAUUACAAUCACAUUUCACAAUGCAAGGAAAAAGUUUCGUUAAAGGCUUGUUCCCAUAUGCAAUUUGAAGAAAAGACAAUUUAAACAAUUCAAGUGAUUCGUUUAAACGUGUGUACAUCUACCCAAAACCUUUUAGUGUCGUUCACUCACUGGUAUUUGUUAAAUCUUUACCUAAUUCCAACUUCCUCUAAUGGUCCAAAUGGGGCAGUGGAGCUUCGUUGGAACCUAUCAUCAUAAUAGCAUCACAAUUAACUCAAUUCACAUAAAUAUACUUCUAAAAGCUAUCUCCUAAAUCAUGUUCUGCUAGUUAUUCCUAACUAGUUUCCAGCUACCAUUAAGUGGCUAUCUAUUUUCACUAUUCUAAUCACACUAAAAUGAAUAAAUCACCUUAACUACAAAACACUCACAGAUCUAACCACCAGCCAUUCUCAACAACUAAAAAUAUCAAUUCAAUUUCAAUACUCACCUUGCUAGAUUUGUAAUUGGAUUCCUUUUCAAGAAUUCACAAACCAUUAUAGAGAGUCCUUUUUUCUCUCUCUAAAACACCAAACUAGUGAGAGAAAGUAUUAGCUUAAGACUUUAGAGGGUUUUUAAGGUGAAAGAGUAAAAGAGCACAAAAGGCUUGUGAAAAGGUGCACAAAAGCAUGAAAUUUGAGACUAACUUGAGAAAGUUAUGGAAGCUUGAAGAGA
rnacentral:lncRNA from 1 species